AGUGAACGCUGGCGGUAGGCCUAACACAUGCAAGUCGAACGGCAGCACAGUAAGAGCUUGCUCUUACGGGUGGCGAGUGGCGGACGGGUGAGGAAUACAUCGGAAUCUACUUUUUCGUGGGGGAUAACGUAGGGAAACCUACGCUAAUACCGCAUACGACCUACGGGUGAAAGCAGGGGAUCUUCGGACCUUUCGCGAUUGAAUGAGCCGAUGUCGGAUUAGCUAGUUGGCGGGGUAAAGGCCCACCAAGGCGACGAUCCGUAGCUGGUCUGAGAGGAUGAUCAGCCACACUGGAACUGAGACACGGUCCAGACUCCUACGGGAGGCAGCAGUGGGGAAUAUUGGACAAUGGGCGCAAGCCUGAUCCAGCCAUACCGCGUGAGUGAAGAAGGCCUUCGGGUUGUAAAGCCCUUUUGUUGGGAAAGAAAAGCAGCAGGUUAAUACCCCGCUGUUCUGACGGUACCCAAAGAAUAAGCACCGGCUAACUUCGUG
rnacentral:rRNA from 1 species